GGGUUACUAGCUUAAUGGUAGAGCAAUAGACUCUUAAUCUAACGGUUCGGGGUUCGAGCCCCCGGUAACCCA
rnacentral:tRNA from 1 species